UACGUAGGGGCAAGCGUUGUCCGGAUUUAUUGGGCGUAAAGAGCGUGUAGGCGGCUUGGAAGGUCAGCUGUGAAAACUCGAGGCUCAACCUCGAGAUGUCGGCGGAAACCAUCUGGCUAGAGUCCGGAAGAGGAGAGUGGAAUUCCUGGUGUAGCGGUGAAAUGCGCAGAUAUCAGGAAGAACACCUAUGGCGAAGGCAGCACUCUGGGACGUAACUGACGCUGAGACGCGAAGCGUGGGGAGCAAACAGG
rnacentral:rRNA from 1 species